AGUGAACGCUGGCGGUAGGCCUAACACAUGCAAGUCGAGCGGCAGCACAGUAAGAGCUUGCUCUUACGGGUGGCGAGUGGCGGACGGGUGAGGAAUACAUCGGAAUCUACUUUUUCGUGGGGGAUAACGUAGGGAAACUUACGCUAAUACCGCAUACGACCUACGGGUGAAAGCAGGGGAUCUUCGGACCUUGCGCGAUUGAAUGAGCCGAUGUCGGAUUAGCUAGUUGGCGGGGUAAAGGCCCACCAAGGCGACGAUCCGUAGCUGGUCUGAGAGGAUGAUCAGCCACACUGGAACUGAGACACGGUCCAGACUCCUACGGGAGGCAGCAGUGGGGAAUAUUGGACAAUGGGCGCAAGCCUGAUCCAGCCAUACCGCGUGGGUGAAGAAGGCCUUCGGGUUGUAAAGCCCUUUUGUUGGGAAAGAAAAGCAGCAGGUUAAUACCUCGCUGUUCUGACGUUACCCAAAGAAUAAGCACCGGCUAACUUCGUG
rnacentral:rRNA from 1 species